AGGGUGCAAGCGUUAAUCGCGGAUUCUGGGCGUAAAGCGUGCGUAGGUGGUUGUUUAAGUCUGUUGUGAAAGCCCUGGGCUCAACCUGGGAACAGCAGUGGAAGCUGGACGACUAGAGUGUGGUAGAGGGUAGCGGAAUUCCUGGUGUAGCAGUGAAAUGCGUAGAGAUCAGGAGGAACAUCCAUGGCGAAGGCAGCUACCUGGACCAACACUGACACUGAGGCACGAAAGCGUGGGGAGCAAACAGGAUUAGAUACCCUGGUAGUCCACGCCCUAAACGAUGCGAACUGGAUGUUGGGUGCAAUUUGGCACGCAGUAUCGAAGCUAACGCGUUAAGUUCGCCGCCUGGGGAGUACGGUCGCAAGACUGAAACUCAAAGGAAUUGACGGGGGCCCGCACAAGCGGUGGAGUAUGUGGUUUAAUUCGAUGCAACGCGAAGAACCUUACCUGGCCUUGACAUGUCGAGAACUUUCCAGAGAUGGAUUGGUGCCUUCGGGAA
rnacentral:rRNA from 1 species